AUGCCAGUUAAAAUAUGGGGUCUCUCAUUUACCUGCUUUGUUUAGUGUUACACAUCUCUCUUCAUCAGUACAUAUAGCAUUGUAUACUUAUCUUCUUCAGUGCAGAGU